CCCUUCUCCUUCGCAACCUCCCAUGCGGCUUGCUCCGCCACAGCUUUUCCAUAGCAAUACCAAUUCUUUGUGUUCUUACAGAACUCGAGAUCGCUCCAACAGGACUCGUCGACGAUGUCGUCUGGACCACGGUUGGGGUCCAUGUAGACUGCACCAAUCGAGGAAGUGAACACCACGCGACGGACAUUGGCUUCGGCUGCCGCGAUUAUGACGUUCUUCGUUCCG
rnacentral:misc_RNA from 1 species